rnacentral:rRNA from 1 species
ACCGAAUAGAUACCCUGGUAGUCCACGCCCUAAACUAUGCGAACUGGAUGUUGGGUACAUUACGGUACUCAGUGUCGAAAGCUAAACGCGUUAAGUUCGCCGCCUGGGGAGUACGGUCGCAAGACUGAAACUCAAAGGAAUUGACGGGGGCCCGCACAAGCGGUGGAGUAUGUGGUUUAAUUCGAUGCAACGCGAAGAACCUUACCUGGCCUUGACAUCUGUCGAAUCCUGCAGAGAUGCGGGAGUGCCGCAAGGAACGACAAGACAGGUGCUGCAUGGCUGUCGUCAGCUCGUGUCGUGAGAUGUUGGGUUAAGUCCCGCAACGAGCGCAACCCUUGUCCCUAGUUGCCAGCACAUCAUGGUGGGAACUCUAGGGAGACUGCCGGUGACAAACCGGAGGAAGGUGGGGAUGACGUCAAGUCCUCAU